GAUGAACGCUGGCGGCGUGCCUAAUACAUGCAAGUCGAGCGAACGGACGAGAAGCUUGCUUCUCUGAUGUUAGCGGCGGACGGGUGAGUAACACGUGGAUAACCUGCCUAUAAGACUGGGAUAACUUCGGGAAACCGGAGCUAAUACCGGAUAAUAUCUUGAACCGCAUGGUUCAAAAGUGAAAGACGGUCUUGCUGUCACUUAUAGAUGGAUCCGCGCUGCAUUAGCUAGUUGGUAAGGUAACGGCUUACCAAGGCAACGAUGCAUAGCCGACCUGAGAGGGUGAUCGGCCACACUGGAACUGAGACACGGUCCAGACUCCUACGGGAGGCAGCAGUAGGGAAUCUUCCGCAAUGGGCGAAAGCCUGACGGAGCAACGCCGCGUGAGUGAUGAAGGUCUUCGGAUCGUAAAACUCUGUUAUUAGGGAAGAACAUAUGUGUAAGUAACUGUGCACAUCUUGACGGUACCUAAUCAGAAAGCCACGGCUAACUACGUG
rnacentral:rRNA from 1 species